rnacentral:rRNA from 1 species
GACGAACGCUGGCGGCGUGCUUAACACAUGCAAGUCGAACGCUGAAGCUCAGCUUUUGUUGGGUGGAUGAGUGGCGAACGGGUGAGUAACACGUGAGUAACCUGCCUCCUUCUUUGGGAUAACGCCCGGAAACGGGUGCUAAUACUGGAUAUUCACUGGUCUUCGCAUGGGGGUUGGUGGAAAGGGUUUUUCUGGUGGGGGAUGGGCUCGCGGCCUAUCAGCUUGUUGGUGGGGUGAUGGCCUACCAAGGCUUUGACGGGUAGCCGGCCUGAGAGGGUGACCGGUCAGAUUGGGACUGAGAUACGGCCCAGACUCCUACGGGAGGCAGCAGUGGGGAAUAUUGCACAAUGGGCGCAAGCCUGAUGCAGCGACGCCGCGUGAGGGAUGGAGGCCUUCGGGUUGUGAACCUCUUUCGCUCAUGGUCAAGCCGCAACAAUGGUUGUGGUGAGGGUAGUGGGUAAAGAAGCGCCGGCUAACUACGUG